rnacentral:lncRNA from 1 species
AGGGCAGGGGUUUUGUCAGUGGAACUCUGGAUUGACUGGUCAGUUGCUACAAUCAGAACCUGCUUUCUUGGACCAUGUUUGAGACUUAGAAGAAUGGGUCUUUCUGCCAUAGUUCCUCACUAGUAAAGAAUGCCAGCAGUUUCUUUGUAUAAAGAGACCUGCCUUUAAAAUCAUACAUUCUGAACAUUUUAGUCAAGCUACAACAGAUUUGGAAAACCUUUGUGGGGGAGGGGCAGAAUAAAGUAUCUUUUUUUUUUUUUUUUUAAAUCUGUUCCCUUUGCCCUUCAAACUGCAGAUUUUUUUUUUCAAAGUGGGGAUUUGUCCCUGCUUGAUUAAAGAUUGAGUGGAAUUCUAGAUGUGGUCAUUUGUGUCAUAAUUUUUCUUUUUGUUUCAAUUUGUUUCUGUUUUUUUUUUCUCUCCCCCUGGGUGUAUGAUUAGUUGUUGAAUAUAUAUAUUUGGGACCAUUAAAACUUUUUUGAUGUAAUAUAGCCUAACGUGCUGGCACCUGCUUUACAUGUGUAAUUUGUGUUCUACAUCACAGUUCUUAAUUUGUUUAGAGUUUUAUGAAAGAUGGUAUAGUUUUUAUUGACAAAAGCAAAGUAAUCUUACAACUAUGUGCAUACAAAAGCAAUACUAUUUUGUGACUAAAUAUUUUAUAUUAAAAUUUGCAUCAGCAGCUGUCUUGAGAUUUCAGGGAAAUAGAGUGGAAUUUAAAACUUCAACAGUUUUGUUAAACUUAGAAACAUGAAAUUAGUAUUCCAAAGAGAUUCGGAAAUUUCAUAUCUUGGAGAAAUGACGGUACAUUAAAUCAAAAUUGAGGAUGGAUGAUUUAAAAGUAAUACUUGACUUUUGAAUAAUAAAAAGAAAAGUGAAGAGUAAGAGAAAUUGUAUUAAUUGUAUGUUUCUUUUCUUUCUUUCUUUUUUUUUAACAUAUGCCCUUUGGAAUACAAGUUGUAAGUGGUGGUACCUAAAUAAACACCCAAGAACC